UACGUAGGGUGCUAGCGUUGUCCGGAAUCAUUGGGCGUAAAGCGCGCGUAGGUGGCUUCGUAAGUCCGUUGUGAAAGUCAAAGGCUCAACCUUUGAAUGCCGAUGGAUACUGCGAAGCUAGAGUACGGAAGAGGCGAGUGGAAUUCCUGGUGUAGCGGUGGAAUGCGCAGAUAGCAGGAGGAACACCAAUGGCGAAGGCAGCUCGCUGGGACGUGACUGACGCUGAGACGCGUAAGCGUGGGGAGCAAACAGG
rnacentral:rRNA from 1 species